rnacentral:rRNA from 1 species
AUUUUAUAUUAAUGUAAUUAUAAGGAAAAAUUUAUUAUAUAAUUAAAAAAUAUUUUAUUGGGGUGAUAAAAAAAUUUAAUUAAACUUUUUUUUAAUUUAAACAAUUAUUAUUGAUUUAUUUUUAAUAAACUAAUUUAAUUUAAAUUAAAAU